AACAGACCUGGUGAAUGGUAUAUGUCAGCCAUUGCGUGAUGGGCAAUCAUCAAUCAUCCAUUGUCAGUUAUUUCUGUCCCAAGACAGCGUCUCUCUAUGUUGCCCAGGCUGGAGUGCAGUGACUAUUCACAGGUGCGAUCAGAGCUCAUCAUAGUCUCCAACUCCUGCUCUCAAGUGAUCCUCCUGCCUCAGCUUACGUAGUAGUGGAGACAGCAGUGGCUUCUGCUCGCGAAUAUCAUGGAUAUGGUACUCAGUGCUGGUGCCUUGGCACAGGAUGGGUGAAGUGGAGAUAGAAAGAGGUGCCUGGAUUUGGA